rfam:Triticum aestivum genome assembly, contig: Triticum_aestivum_CS42_TGACv1_scaffold_161662_2DL
AAAGUACUCCCUCCGUCCCAAAAUUCUUGUCUUAGAUUUGUCUAGAUACGGAUGUAUCAUGUCACAUUUUAGUAUUAGAUACAUCCGUAUCUAGACAAAUCUAAGACAAGAAAUUUGGGACAGAGGGAGUAGUUG